UACGAAGGGGGCUAGCGUUGUUCGGAAUUACUGGGCGUAAAGCGCGCGCAGGCGGUCUUCCAAGUCAGUGGUGAAAGCCCGGAGCUCAACUCCGGAACUGCCAUUGAAACUGUUGGACUUGAGUACGAGAGAGGUGAGUGGAAUUCCCAGUGUAGAGGUGAAAUUCGUAGAUAUUGGGAAGAACACCGGUGGCGAAGGCGGCUCACUGGCUCGUAACUGACGCUCAGGCGCGAAAGCGUGGGGAGCGAACAGG
rnacentral:rRNA from 1 species